GGCCAGAGAGCCACGGGCAAGGGGCUGAGCUGAGGGGGGUUCCAGUGCCAGUUGCUUAAAAAUGCCCCUGUAGCACCAAGAGGUGCCAGACCCAAGUGAACUUAGUUGAGAAGCAAUAACACCCACAACCACACCCCAAAUAGACUGGGCCUCCACCUCCGAAGAUUCAUCCCUGGACCAGACACCAGUCAAGGCAAGAGUGAUGGCUGGUAGGAUUCCUCCUACACUGGAGAAGAGCCCCAGAGAGGAACCUUCCUGAGAAGCCGAAAAGGGACAGCAACAGCCGCCCAGCUCCCAGAACUCGUCCCCUCCUCUCACCCCUCCCGGGAGCUUCCCAACGGACAGAAGGGAGAGAUCCCCUUGCCUGGAGACAUCUUCUGAAGACAUGGGAAAAGGAGACGAGGCGGGCUACUCCCUGGCAGCAGGCCUUCAAGCUGUUGACAACCAGUACCAAGAAGAGUGCCAGAAUCACAGGGACAGAAUGAGACAGUCUUUAUCCAGGGAUGGGUCAAGGAAGAAGAGGCAAAGACCUUUCCUGGCUGAACGCCUCCCUCUCCAUACUGUCUGGCCAUUUAUGUCUCCUUAAGGAAGAUGGACCACCUUCUGUCUAGUUCUCGUGUCCCGCCAAGAAGAUGUAAAAUCUUUGCCACGUUCUCCUUUAUCCCAAGGUGGGAUGGCAGCAGCUCUCAUUUCCCCUUUCUGAGUUGCUGACUGCAAAUCUAGAAUGCCCUAUCCCCAUUCCUGGUCCUCCAACCAAGGUGAUCAUUUCCAGCCACAAAAGCUGACCAGAAGGUAGAGCAGGCUCUGCUGUCCCGCCCCAAACCUAAUCAGUGGAUGUCCUGUUUUUCACUGCAAUUUUAUUGUAAAGAGUAAGGGGAAUCCUUUUAUGUACCUAGGUUGGAAUACUUGUUAUAAAUGGAAAGCUAACACCAGCCAGAGUUUUAAACAAUAAUAAUAAUGAAGAUGCAACAUCAG
rnacentral:lncRNA from 1 species